GACGAACGCUGGCGGCGUGCCUAAUACAUGCAAGUCGAACGCUUUGAUUUUCACCGGAGCUUGCUCCACCGAAAAUCAAAGAGUGGCGGACGGGUGAGUAACACGUGGGCAACCUGCCCAACAGAGGGGGAUAACACUUGGAAACAGGUGCUAAUACCGCAUAAUUUGUUUUUCCGCAUGGAAGAAUAAUAAAAGACGCUUCGGUGUCACUGUUGGAUGGGCCCGCGCUGCAUUAGUUAGUUGGUGGGGUAACGGCCUACCAAGACCAUGAUGCAUAGCCGACCUGAGAGGGUGAUCGGCCACACUGGGACUGAGACACGGCUCAGACUCCUACGGGAGGCAGCAGUAGGGAAUCUUCGGCAAUGGACGAAAGUCUGACCGAGCAACGCCGCGCGAGUGAAGAAGGUUUUCGGAUCGUAAAACUCUGUUGUUAGAGAAGAACAAGUGAGAGAGUUACUGUUCUCACCUUGACGGUAUCUAACCAGAAAGCCACGGCUAACUACGUGCCAGCAGCCGCGGUAAUACGUAGGUGGCAAGCGUUGUCCGGAUUUAUUGGGCGUAAAGCGAGCGCAGGCGGUUUCUUAAGUCUGAUGUGAAAGCCCUCGGCUCAACCGAGGAAGGUCAUUGGAAACUGGGGAACUUGAGUGCAGAAGAGGAGAGUGGAAUUCCAUGUGUAGCGGUGAAAUGCGUAGAUAUAUGGAGGAACACCAGUGGCGAAGGCGACUCUCUGGUCUGUAACUGACGCUGAGGCUCGAAAGCGUGGGGAGCAAACAGG
rnacentral:rRNA from 1 species